UACGGAGGAUCCGAGCGUUAUCCGGAUUUAUUGGGUUUAAAGGGUGCGCAGGCGGGAUGUUAAGUCGGCGGUGAAAUUUUGCAGCUCAACUGUAAAAGUGCCUUCGAUACUGGCUUUCUUGAGUGUGGAUGAAGUAGGCGGAAUUUGUGGUGUAGCGGUGAAAUGCUUAGAUAUCACGAGGAACUCCGAUUGCGCAGGCAGCUUAUUAAACCACUACUGACGCUCAUGCACGAAGGCGUGGGGAUCAAACAGGAUUAGAUACCCCU
rnacentral:rRNA from 1 species